UCCUCCACCCGCCGCAGCUCGCUCCUCCACCCGCCCCCGCCGUGCGCGUCGUCCUCCAUCCUACGCCAGCCCGCCCGCCCACCGGUGCGCGCCCGCCAGCCGUCCUCCGAGGGCCGGCGCGCCCUCCUGCCCCACGCCCGAUUCAAAAUUCAUCGCUCCCCCUGCCCCAAAUCACGUCGCCCCUCCCCGACGCCGCACGACAUCACACGCCAUCCCGUCUGCUUCGUCCCGGCCGCCGUUUCGUCCUCGGCGCCGUCCUCACCCAGCCGCCGGUCUCUCCCGGCCAUCGUCCGCGCCAUCCCAGUCGUCGAUCCGCGUCCCCGGCCGCCGUCUGCGCCGUCCUCAUCGCGCCACCGCCUCGUCCCCGGCGGAGCCGCGCCCCGGCAGAUUCGGCCGCCAAUCCACACCCAGGAGUCGCUACAUCCCUGGCCACCGUCCGCGGCUAUAGAGCCGGUCCACGCCGUCCCCGGCCUCCGUUCGUGCUGUCCCGCCCGCCGUCCAUGCCGAUCCGCGCCCAGGGAAUAGAAGCAAGAAGCGGAGGAGGAAUCGCUCCCCACCACCGCCGCUGCCGGCACCGGUGCCGGUGAUGGGAGCGACGUGAGCCACGAGAAGUGGCAGCGCUGGGGAACCUCCUCGACGCUUCCAGCUGCAGGGUCGCCGUCGUCCGCGAGCUACUCGAGAUGGUGGCCGCCGCCGGAGAGAAGAUGCGCUUCGGGGGUGUCGGCUCCAAGCUAAAAGUGACGCCACCUUCUUUGACUUCUGUUUUAUUCAGCCCCUCUUGUUCUUGAAGCUUCUGUGCGAACAAUGUAGGAGCUGAACUCCUGGCAAGGCUACUGGCUUACUGGCUUCGUAGUCUGAUUUUUUUUCUCGGGAGCAAGAAGCAUAGGGCAAGAAGCAUGGGGCUGUCUACGAGACGCUUGGCGACUCCAACCAGAAGCUGCAUUAUUUCUCGGGGCGGCAGAUUAGAGCAGAGGGGAUUUGUGCCAGAAGUGGUGGUUACCAACUGAAGACUGUAUGUACGCAAAUAUUGUUCCCUGCAAUCUUUGGAGGGGGAUAAAAUUCUGGUUGUACAUGCACCUGAAGGUUUGUCCAAAAAGCAAAGAGGGUUGUGCAGUUUUUAUUUCUGUAUCCUCCUAUUGUGUUUGAGCCCAUAAGCAUGUUGGUUUUAGCAGGACUUUUUGAACCAAAAUAACACUGGAAAGUUACUUUGGUAAGUAUUCGGCAUCCCAGCUGCACGGCUAUGCCUCUUUGGUAUCCAGGAGCAUGAAAAUAUAAUGCAAGAUGCAUUUGAUCGUUCAGCUGAUCUUAAAUCCAUAUUUGUUUUCCAUAUUGUUGAACAAUAUUGUUUCAAAUGUUUGCCUUGAUUUAGUCAUUUCUGUUUGGUAGUUUAGAUUACCCUUCACUUGCUGCAAUCGAUCCUCUGGCGAGUUGUAAAUUCUUGCUAGGUCCGCAAAGCAUUCUUUUGUCUACUAAGCUCAACAGAUGUGGUUAAUCCUACUUAGGAUACAGAUACACCAUACUUUUAGAUUGGUGCUCUUUCGAUUGUUGUGAUUGCUUGUCGCUGAAAGAACAAGUACUUUUGUAUGGCUUUCCAGUGGAACAAAGAGAACUGAUGAUUAGUGUUGAUAA